rnacentral:rRNA from 1 species
CAGCAGCCACGGGAAUACGAAGGGUGCAAGCGUUACUCGGAAUUACUGGGCGUAAAGCAUGCGUAGGUGGUGGUUUAAGUCCGUUGUGAAAGCCCUGGGCUCAACCUGGGAAUUGCAGUGGAUACUGGGUCACUAGAGUGUGGUAGAGGAUAGUGGAACUUCCGGUGUAGCAGUGAAAUGCGUAGAGAUCGGAAGGAACAUCUGUGGCGAAGGCGACUAUCUGGGCCAACACUGACACUGAGGCACGAAAGCGUGGGGAGCAAACAGGAUUAGAUACCCCGUAGUCCCUGUCUCUUAUACA